AUGCUCAAAAUUCUCCAAGCCAGGCUUCAGCAAUAUGUGAACCAUGAAUUUCCAGAUGUUCAAGCUGGUUUUAGAAAAGGCAGAGGAACCACAGAUCAAAUUGCCAACAUCUGCUGGAUCAUUGAAAAAGCAAGAGAUUUCCAGAAAAACAUCUAUUUCUGCUUUCUUGACUAUGCCGAAGCCUUUGACUGUGUGGAUCACAAUAAACUGUGGAAAAUUCUGAAAGAGAUGGGAAUACCAGACCACCUGACCUGCCUCUUGAGAAACCUAUAUGCAGGUCAGGAAGCAACAGUUAGAACUGGACAUGGAACAACAGGCUGGUUCCAAAUAGGAAAAGGAGUACGUCAAGGCUGUAUAUUGUCCCCCUGCUUAUUUAACUUCUAUGCAGAGUACAUCAUGAGAAACGCUGGACUGGAAGAAACACAAGCUAGAAUCAAGAUUGCCGGGAGAAAUAUCAAUAACCUCAGAUAUGCAGAUGACACCACCCUUAUGGCAGAGAGUGAAGAGGAACUCAAAAGCCUCUUGAUGAAAGUGAAAGAGGAGAGUGAAAAAGUUGGUUUAAAGCUCAACGUUCAGAAAAUGAAGAUCAUGGCAUCUGGUCCCAUCACUUCAUGGGAAAUAGAUGGGGAAACAGUGGAAACAGUGUCAAACUUUAUUUUGGGGGGCUCCAAAAUCACUGCAGAUGGUGACUGCAGCCAUGAAAUUAAAAGACGCCUACUCCUUGGAAGAAAAGUUAUGACCAACCUAGAUAGCACAUUGAAAAGUAGAGACAUUACUUUGCCAAUAAAGGUCCAUCUAUUCAAGGCUAUGGUUUUUCCUGUGGUCAUGUAUGGAUGUGAGAGUUGGACUGUGAAGAAAGCUGAGUGCCGAAGAAUUGAUGCUUUUGAACUGUGGUGUUGGAAAAGACUCUUGAGGGUCCCUUGGACUGCAAGGAGAUCCAACCAGUCCAUUCUAAAGGAGAUCAGUCCUGGGUGUUCACUGGAAGGACUGAUGUUGAAGCAGAAACUUUACAAUACUUUGGCCACCUGA
rnacentral:lncRNA from 1 species